AUACGUAGGUGGCAAGCGUUGUCCGGAAUUAUUGGGCGUAAAGCGCAUGUAGGCGGUUUGGUAAGUCGGUUGUGAAAAUGCGGGGCUUAACUCCGUAUGGCGGUCGAACAUGCUGAACUUGAGGGCAGGAGGGGGAAGGGGGAAUCCCAGUGUAGCGGGGAAAUGCGUAGAUAUUGGGAGGAACACCAGUGGCGAAGGCGACUUACUGGACUGUAACUGACGCUGAGGCGCGAAAGUGUGGGGAGCAAACAGGAUUAGAUACCCUGGUAGUCCACACUGUAAACGAUGAAUGCUAGGUGUAGGGGGUAUCGACCCCUUCUGUGCCGCAGUCAACACAAUAAGCAUUCCGCCUGGGGAGUACGGCCGCAAGGUUGAAACUCAAAUGAAUUGGCGGGG
rnacentral:rRNA from 1 species